rnacentral:rRNA from 1 species
UGAGCAAUCUGCCCUUCUCAUCGGAAUAAGCGUUGGAAACGACGUCUAAUGCCGAAUACGACCUCCUUUCGCAUGAUCGGAGGUGGAAAGCUCCGGCGGAGAAGGAUGAGCUCGCGGCCUAUCAGCUAGUUGGUGUGGGUAAUGGCCCGCCAAGGCGACGACGGGUAGCCGGCCUGAGAGGGUGACCGGCCACACUGGGACUGAGACACGGCCCAGACCUCCGUACGGGAGCAG